rnacentral:rRNA from 1 species
UACGUAGGGUGCAAGCGUUAAUCGGAAUUACUGGGCGUAAAGCGUGCGCAGGCGGUGAUGUAAGACAGAUGUGAAAUCCCCGGGCUCAACCUGGGAACUGCAUUUGUGACUGCAUCGCUGGAGUGCGGCAGAGGGGGAUGGAAUUCCGCGUGUAGCAGUGAAAUGCGUAGAUAUGCGGAGGAACACCGAUGGCUAAGGCAAUCCCCUGGGCCUGCACUGACGCUCAUGCACGAAAGCGUGGGGAGCAAACAGG